UCUGGCUGCUGUGCUCCUCGGAGACGGUGGUGGAGGCACAUCUGAGAAGAGUGUAUCUGGACGAGUGAAGGGGUUAGGAGGAAAUGUCGCUUACUUGCGCACUGUGGUUCCGGAAAGGCCUUUUCCGGAGAGGUCGCUCGGGAGCUGAGGCUGACCGAGCACUCUCCCAGCAGUCUGACUCCGAGGCCAAAGGCCGGGGUCAAGGAGGAGCUUGGCUUUGUUGUGAGCGAUGGAAGCGGAAGCGGAGCCAGGAGUGUGCAGCUCUCGCUGCAGAGCUCCACACCUGCAGGGAGCUACUCGUGCAGAGAGAGGAGGAGAUCGCCAACCUGAAGGCGGAGAGAAACAACACCAAGCUGCUGCUGGAACAUUUGGAGUUCCUCGUCUCCAGGCACGAGAGAUCUCUUCGGAAAACAGUGGUGAGGCGACAGGCGAAGACUCAGGCCGGCGAGUCCAGUGAGGCGGAGGUGCAGAGCCAGAUGAAAGAGCUCCUGGCUACCCUGUGCACUCUCGUGGCCAAGCUGGAAGAAGACCUGGACAUCUCAAGGAAAGACCUCAUCCUUUGUAAAGCAAUGAACACCAUAUUACAAAGAGAUGUCCGUGAAGCCAUGGCCCAGACGGAAGACAUGCAAGACAGGAUCACUACCCUUGAGAAGCGCUGCCUCAGGGCACAGCACGAAGCCACCUCUCUGCACGACCUCAAGGAUAACCUUGAAAACGAGAUCGCAAAGAAGGACUCUCUGCAUCGACAGACUGCGGAUCAAAACCGCCAGUUGCAAGAGCGCCUGGAGGUGGCGGAGCGGAAGCUGCAGCAGACCCCGAGGAAGGCCAAGUCGCUGCCCGAGGUGGAAGCCGAGCCGGCCCAGAGGGUGGCCACCCUCUGCAAGGCCGAGCAGAGGCAUGGCAACAUCGAGGAAAGUCUGCACCAGAUGGAGGCCCAGCUGGAGGAAAAGAACCAAGAACUGCAGCGGAUGUAAAGGCACAGGUCGGGGUAGAUGUUCCUAAGAAGAGGAAUAGCGUCAUCGAGCCUUGACGAAAGGGAGGCCCGUGUCCCUUGAAUCCCCUGAGAUUUUUCCCUGCGGGAGCUGGUCGGACGUCAACAUGAAACACCCAGACUGCCUCAACAUCCUGCUCUUGGAGACUUUCAGGGAUCCUGCAUGCCCAGUCGUUGCGCCAGCAGGUGAUCGUCAAAGAAACGACUCAAAAAGAACUAAACAGAAUCAGAACCCAGUCCUACACACUUGGGCAGCAGCUCGUGUGGAGACUCUGCCCUCCAGAUCACCACUGCUUUUACCCACGGACAGGAAAAGCUGCAAAGCUGUCAAGUGCCCCAACCCCCCUACACUGUUUGAUGUCAGAUGUUGGGUUUCUUUUGCUACAUUCAGGCUCCCAGAUGUAACUAAAUUGGGUUCUAUUUCUCCAUAACCCACAGGUUUUCCAUAGUCAUAGGACACGAAGCUUCCCUGGGGAAUUGUGCCGGUCACUUCCUUCACAGAUUUAUUUCAUUAUCAUCUGGGACAGAGAGUUGGGACCCAACUGUAUCCCUUCUGAUUCCCUUGAUCUCCUUCUAAACAGGUUUUCCAGUGAGGGACUGAGUUUCCUAGCCUGGAACUAUGUCUCUCUGAUUUUAAUUGUGGAGUCCUGCUACAUUGCCCUAGAUCCAGGGGAACAUGGACAGUGGGUUCUCCAUGGGCUCACCUGUGACACCUCUCUUGGCAAGAGAAGGCAAAAAGUCUUCUGGGAUGGGGCAAGUGUUAUUGGGAGGGAGCUAUCUUCACUUGUGUGCAUGGGGUGUUGGAGAUCAGAGGUCAGAGUCAGGAACCGUGUAACUGUUACUCAGAGAGUGCCCAGCAUUCACAAGCAGCUAACACAUGGUGAUUCCCAAGGACACAUUGCCCUCCCUUACUGAGACCUGUGUGCUUGUUAGCCUGAGGGCUGUUGGUGACCCUGUUCCACAGGCCGCUGUGAGUUAACCACAUGAUGAGAAGUCCAGUGUUGGAGCAUGAGCAUUGUUCUUCCCCAGGUGGUCAGGGCAGACAGUCCAUUCAAAGACUCGGGGACCAGAGCCCAAUUCCACAGACAUGGCUGCCAGCCAGCACAGAGAAGCCAACACUGAGAUAGAUCGCGAGGGCCUCUGCCCCCUGGUUGUAAGUGGAAGGCCAGAGCCAGAAGCCUUCCUGCCCUACGUAGCUCAGGAUGCAGUGCGCUUGUGAUCGGUGCUUCCUUUCAUGCCAACCCCACAGACGUUUCCUUCUUACUCUCAGGACACCUAGCUUGCCUGGAAAAUAGUGCUCAUGUCCGCAGUCCCAUUUUAAUUCCAUUUUCAUCUGAACUGAACAAUUUAUGUACCCAGUGUGUUUCUUCUCAGUUGUUAUUCUUAUUUUGAUUAAGAUUAUCAUCAAAAUCAUCAUUGUUAUUUAUUGACCAAUUCCUCCCUGUGGGACUUUGGUGGAAUCAGUCUGGAAGCCUCCCUUUUGAUUUUUAAUUAUAAACUCUUUGAUAGUUUUCCUGGAUGUGGGACGGCUUGGAAAUUUACUGCUUCAUGCCCUCUGGCAAACUUACACUGGCACAGAAGCAGCUACCCCAGUGCAUUGGAAAGCAUUGAGCACAAGAGGUUGGCCUGUGGACAGAAGGCCGGAGGGAAAGCAACCUGCCUUUUUUCUAGGGCAAAGGAAAUAUAUCAGCAGGAAGGAGUCAGGAGCAAUGCAGCUGCCACUCAGACAGCAAUCUCUGGCAGCUUCUCUAAUUUCACAACGUAAUAUCCUCCAGAUCCAUGGAUGUAGCUGCAAGUGGCAAGAUUUCAUUCAUUUUGAUAGGACACAGACCUUUCUUCCUGGCGGAAGGUGAGAGGCUGUUCACAGGUCUCUCUCUGAAACGCAGCGAUCCACUGAGGAAAUCCCAGGCAUCUGGGAUCCUUGUGUAACACGAUGAGGAGUAAACACGUCCGGAGGACGUCUGCCGCCAGGGAACUCCAGGGACUCCAAGUUCACCCGGCUUUUUGAAGAAAUCCGAAGGAGGGAAGGAGGAAGUGCAUUUGACUAAGCAAAUAGCUCAACCGGUUUUCAGACACGUUGAGAAAAUACAGAAAAUAACUGGUUUCCUAAGGUUUGUGGCUGCAUAAAGUUUUCUCUUCAUGAAAACAGAAAUUAUUGCUCCAACCUGCCAGCAUACAUCUCCUCAUGGCCUCCAGUGUUUGUUUCUUGUAAAUGAUUACUUUGUUACAAGUAAAAAAUUCUAUUACUGUGAGUUAAACCCGUCCUCACACACGCAACCCACACACAAAAAGGCCACCGGGGUGGCUCAGUAUAAGGGUCGGACUUCGAUUCAGGUCAUGAUCUCGAGGUUUGUGGGUUCGAGCCCUUCCUCCAGGUCUGUGCUGUAAAUUAUGGUUAUUGAGCGGAAUGCAGUGUUCUCUAUUUAUAUUUUAGAUGAAAUUUAUAAAUUGCAGAAUUCAGAUUUUAGUAACCACUUUAAACCAAGUAAGGAAUAAGCGAGAAUGAGCUUAAAAAUAUUACUAACAGGCAUAUCCAAAAUAUCAUUUCAGUGUAUAGCCAGCGUGAGAAAAAAAUAAUGAAAGAUUUUGCAUUCUCUCUUAUCAUGUCUUUAAAAUGUGGUGUGCAUUUUAUACGUUCCACACGUCUCACUUUGAGUAGCCUCAUUUCAAGUACUUGCAAUAAAGCAGGUGACCGCCUAUUGGACAACCCCGUCCCACUCCCUUGAUUACACUGAUCUUUUAGGUAAUUGGAAUAUAUCUAUUUUUAGAGGCAGGUGCAUUUUAAACUGACCCCUGCCUGAUUCAGGACUUGUACUGCUUUCCUGACACUGUUCUCUCCUUUUAUCUUUUCUUUGUUUUAAGAUUUGUUUUUUGAGAGAAUCCUACUACAAUCGGGUGAGGGGCAGAGGAGAAAGGGAGACACAGAACCUGAAGCAGGCUCCAGGCUGUGAGUCAUCUGCAUAGAGUCUGACGCGGGUCUCCAAACUCACAAACCGUGAGAUCGUGACCUGAGCCAAAGUCGGACACUCAACUCACUGAGCUACCCAGGUGCCCCUGCUCUUUUCUUUGACACUUGAACCACAGUGAACUCCUCUUUACCUUUUUUUGGGUAAUAUUUUUAAGUUUUAGAUGGAUUUUGGCGUUGUUGUCCUUGUUUCGUGCACUUAAUGAUUGUUAAGGUUUGUUCUCAUAGUUACCCUUUCUGUUGUGACCUUGUUCUGCAAACCUUGUUUUUUCAUAUUUCUUUCAGAGACUACGUUUCUUUUCUGCAACAAGGUGUUUUAAUAUUGCUUUUAGUUCGUGUCUGUGGCUGAUGGGUAGUCAUGGUUUGUGUGUGUGUGUUGUUUUUGUUUGUUGUUUCUGUUUUUAUUUUUGUUUUUGCUUCUGUUUUGCCUGAAACACGUCUUUUUCUUCACUUGGAAGAAUGUUUCUUUUAGGUAAAGACUUCUGAGUUGGUGGCUAUUUUAGUUCACCUUUCAUACAUGCCAAUCCAUCAUCUGGCUUCAUUUGCUUUCCUUGAAGAGUCAGCUGGUAGUUUUGUCCCAUGGAAGGCGGUAUAUGUGACUUCUCAUGACUCUUAACAUCUUUUUGCCUCAUGUGUUCUUUGUGGAGUCACUGUCAUCGUUAUCAGUUUUAUAUCUUUGUAGCGAUAUGUUACUACCCACUUUGUGUUUCCUCUACAUUGUGGGUUACCAUUGGAUAUUUGUACCGUAUCUUCUGUGUCUUUGGGCUUCUGUAUUUUCUUGACGUUUUCUCUGUGUAUGGCCUAGAUAUAUUUUUACCUACCUAUCUUUCAGUUCACUGAGUCUAUUCACCUGUGUCUUGUUUGAUUUGAAGCCCAUUGAGUUCUUAAUUCAAUUAACAAGAUUUUUUAGUCUUUAUGUUGGAGAGCUAGACAAGUUGGGAGCAAUGGAUGAACAGAGAGAGAGGGAGACAUAGAUGCCCAAGCAGUCUCGCGCCCAUGAUCACGAGAUCAUGACCUGAGCUAAAGUCAGAUGCUUAAGGAAAUGAGCCAAUCAAGCAGCUGAAGAUCUUAAUUUUAGCUCUGAUAAUUUGCAGUUUGAGAAUCUGUUUUGAGUCUCUGAAAUAUCCCAUUUGUCAAGAAUGGUUUUUGGACAGUUGACUUUUGCAUCCAGUAAUUCCAGUCUAUGUGUCUCCUCUUGGUCUCUGUUCUUUUUUCUUUUGAUCGAUGUGAUGUAAAAAAUGUUUUUUUAUAUUUAUUUAUUUAUAUUGCGGGAGAAAGUGAGAGCAAGUGUGAGUGUAGAGGACGGGGGAGAGAGAGGCCAUUUUGAAGAGAGGUUCUUUUCUGUCAGUAAGAGCCCAACACAGGGCUCAAAUUCACAAACAUGAGCAGAAAACAAGUGUUUGUCCCUUAACCGAGUAGCCUGAACUAUCCUGGUACAUCUCUGUGUUUGCUUGUUUGUUUCUUUCCUUUUCUUAUUAAAAGAAUUUUUUUGUUAAUAUUAUUUACUUUUGAGAGAGAGAGAGAGGUAGAGACAAAAAUUGUGCAGGGCAGCGGGAGACAAAGAGGGAGACACAGAUUCCAAACAGUCUCCAGGCUCUUCACUGUGAGCACAGAGCCCGACACGGGACUCAAAACCAUAAACCCUGAGAUCAUGACCUGAACCUACGUGGGAUGCUUACCGGACUGAUUCACCCAGGCAUCCCUUUUCUAUUCUUUUCAUUUCUUUUUCUUUUCUUACUUUUCCUUUCCUUUUCUAUCCUCUUCUCGUCUCUUUUUUCUUUUUCUUUUCUUUUCUUCUUUGUUUUUAUUUUUCUAUUGGACAUGAUGUAGAAGCAUAGAGGCUCUUGUGUUUGUAUUUCUUACCUAGUUAGAGUAGAUUUGCUUUUGGGGAGGAAAUGAUAUAAUAGCCAAGUAUAUGCGUAUAUUUCAUGCACUCGUGCCGUACCUUUUACUAUUUUUGAUAUUUUGAAGCUGCCCAGCUCGUCUGCCAGUCUUUCCAAAUGUCACACAUCUGCAAAGUUUCCAACGUAUUUUUUGGAAAAAAAAUCCCCACAUAGAAAUGGGUCUGCACAGUCUUACAUCAAGAAUCACAUAUGCGUCUGUGGGUAAACCUUGUCAAGCCAGAUUGCAAGGAACGUGGAUAGUUCUGUGGUAAAUUCGCCUUGAUUAGGAAAAGGUUAAUUCAUGAAGAAACUUGAAGUAUGUCACCUGUUUUUACAAUGACUUUCUAGCAUUGACGAAAUCAACCACUCUCGCUAUUUGGAAUUUGAGUUAAGUGAACCUUGUCCGCUUGUUUUUCUUCAGAGUCAAAACUUCUGGGCCGCCUAAGUGGCUCAGGGGGUUAAGCGUCUGACUCGGUUUCAGCUCAGGUCAUGAUGUCAGGGUUCACGGAUUGAGCCCUGCACAGGGCGCUGAGCUCUACUGAAGGGAGAGUGUGCGUCCACCUCCUUGGAGCCCACCUGUAUGCCGUGUCUUGGGCGAGCGCUCAGUAUUGGCGGGAGAGAAACCCCACGCGCGGUGAUGGACCCUGGCAUCCCUCUCUUCAAAAACCCUUCGUCCAUAUUUCCUGCUUGACUAAGGAAAUAAGACUUAUACUCUGCCUUUCGUCAAGAGUCGUACAAUCUUUUUUGAAAAGUGCAUUUCGUAUGGUUGUCUCUGAUUGGGACAGGUGUUCAGUCUAAGACAGGGCUUUUGAAUACCGUCAGGUUUCCCCACUGCCGCUCCACAAGCCUGCUUGCCAGAUGAGGCCAGAGGCUGGGGAUGGGCAACAGGGUUCUCAGGCUGUGGUUCCCAACUCAGCAGGGUUCCUAAAACAUAAACCUGCCAGGCACCUGAAAAUGUCUGUCCCCUUGAGAGUAGGUCCCUACGAAAAUCCCCGGGACUCCUGUGGGUGGUGAUGAGGGGCCUUGUGUAUGUUUCUACCUGAGGUUGGUGAGUGAGUGUACUCUGGAGAGCCACGGAAGCCUGGUGCGCUCUUGCUAAUGACCCCCUGUGACUUUCCACUUUUCUCCCCUCUCCGACCCCUGGAGUGUACAGCCCUUGCUGAGGAGCUCAACAGCUGUAGGAGCAGCUCUUGUAGAGAAAGGAAGAGGUCGUCGAACUGAAGGCAGAGAGAAACAACACCAGGGUCAGUAGGCGCACUGCCAGUGUCUUUAAGCACACGACAGCACUCCUCUUGUCCACAUGUCCCUGUGGAGUUGGUUUGGACCCAUUUUUCUCAGACCUCGUUUGAUCUGUGAGAAGGCUAUCUUACAUUCGUGGGGGCAGAUCCCUAACUGGGUACUGAACUGAAGUGAUUCAGACUUGGUUUUGCAUUUGGUGAAUUUGCAAAUGAAGGUGUUCUUGAAACACCGUUUUCCUUUUGCCUCUCCCGCCAGCUGCUGCUGGACCAUUUGGAGUUCCUCGUCUCCAGGCACGAGAGAGCUCUUCGGAAAACAGUGAGGCUACUAGGCGAAGACUCAGGCCGGCGUGUCCAGUGAGGCCGAGGGGCUGAAGGUCUUUGAACUCCAUAUUGGAGAACGAAAAAAGGGAGGAUAAAACGGUGUGCCUCGCCACGGCGGUUCUCGACUUGUGCACAUGCUGUGUGUUAUCAGGCAUACAAUGCGUGUUUGUGUGACUGGCGUUUCCUUUUAAGCUUCUUGAAUUCUUGUAAGAAGCCGGGUCUUUAUGGAUAAAAAGCAGUGGUUGGUGGAAAUGCGUGUACAGAUUUGCUGGUAAAAAUUGCAUAAUAUAUUUCGGGGGAAGAUUUGUCUCCAAUGUAAAAUUGAAAGCAAGUUUGUGAACAUGAGCAUCCGUGAAAGUCUUUACCAGCAUUCUGUCAUGUUAUUUGUUUUUUUUUUUUUAAUUUUCUUUAACGUUUAUUUUUGAGACAGAGACAGAGCAUGAACAGGGGAGGGUCAGAGAGGAAGGGAGACAAAGAAUCUGAAACAGCCUCCGGGCGGGCUCCGAGCUGUCAGCACAGAACCCGACGCGGGGCUCGAACUCACGGAACGUGAGAUCAUGACCUGGGCUGAUCAGAUGCUCAACCGACUGAGCCACCCAGGCGCCCCCUGUCAUGUUAUUUGAAGCGAAGGGGACCUUACAGUGGCUUUACAGUACGGAUUAAUAAAAAAUCCUCCGCGUACAAACUCAAUCCCUUUGGUUCCAGGUGAGAGAGCGUUUAUGUGUGGCCCUGGAGUGUUAUAGUUUCUUCGAAGAAGAAUCAGGGGCCACAUGCAAAGAGUAAGCUCCAGACAUCAUCACAGGAUUUGAAUGGAGGGGGUUUCCUUUUUACCCUUUGUUUUAAAAAUGUAUAUAUAUGAAGACCAGCAGUGGGGGCCAUCACAUGAUGCUUCCCUUUCUGGCUUUCAAAGGUGCAGAGCCAGAUGAAGGAGUGCCUAGCUCCCCUCUCCACUCUCGUGGCCAAGGUGGAGGAAGAUCUAGACAACGCGCGGAAGGAUGUCACCAUUUCAGAAGUAAUGAACACCAUGUUACGACGAGAUGUGCAUGAAGUGAGAGGCAGUUGAGAAGGUCUCGCUGUCCUCAAGUCAAAUGUGGGGUGUUUGAUUCGGUCUUUGCCCACUCUGUCCUUCCUCUCCUACAUUUUUUGAACGUUUGGAGUUUGGUAGAAAUAGCUGCAGAACGGAACGUUAUUCCAGGGCCUGGCAGCUGCCUCCCCGUCUGUAUGAUAGAAUCUGUCUUCUCUGGGCUCUACCCUACCAAAGCCUGGUGGGUAGGCGGCGUUGUGCCUUCAGGCGUGGAGUGCAUGCCACCUGAGCUUGUCCCUCGCCGUGCUCACGGUCCGUUCUGGCAACACGCUCAGCACAUUCGAAACACUGUGGUGCAGCCGCUCUGUUACUGGCACCGUGUCCGGGGCUGGCUCUGGUUGUGCAUGUGCUCUGUGCUCCCGGGUCACGCCCUGGAAGGGUUGCCGAGGGUUCUCGACUCAGGGCGCUUAGAGUCCAGAUCAGCUUGGGAGGGAGAGUGUCAGCUCCCUGGAGGCAGCCCUCUCCGGCAGCUGCUGGCCUGUGGUUCUCACUCGUGUGGGGCGGUGUGUCGUGUGCCAAGCACACGUGGAAGAUGCUCUUCCGUGCUUCACCCAGUCCGACAAGCUCUCAGGAUGGUCCUUUGAACAACCUCAGCAGCAGUAGCAGUAACCAGGACUCCCUGCACAACGCCCCCAUAAAGAAGGUCAUCAGUCCCGUGCGCUGCUUGCUAGGCAAGAAACAAAAGGUCCACCCCGGCCACGCUAGUGUUCUAUAUAGCUGCAAAGGGGUUCUAUAUAGCUGCAAAGGGGUUCUAUAUAGCUGCAAAUAGGUUAUAUCUCCUCCAUAGUGAACCUGAGGCCCGUAUUAAGAUAAGGUUCCUGGAGGACGUAGAGCAUGUAUGAAAUCUGGAAAGGACUCACGUGGAAUCCCAUUCCACCUUGUGAAGUUGUGCAGGGAGGGCCUGACCCCAGAGCACUUAACUCUAAGCCUGGCUCCUGCACAGAUGAGUUUGGGGCUCUCGGGAAGCUCCAUAUUAGCAUUCCUGUGCUUCCGUUCUAUCACCUAAUAGGAUCUGUGGGAGCACUUCCGUCAUAUGGCUUAUAGGAGUGUCUGCAUCUAAAUAUCUACAUGAUACUUUGAUCACAGAAGUUCCAUCACAUGUGUAACUGCAGCCCCUGUGGGGACAUGGUCACCAGCAUUCAGAAACUGUCAUUCAUCUGGUGGUCUCUCUGGCGCACUCACUACGUUGCCCUCCUUUUUCCUUCCCCUGUAUUUUUUGAGUUUCUCUUAGACUAUGACCUUUGCAAUCUAUUCAGUACCACCUAUUUUUAAAUGGUCUUGAUUCCAGACAGUGGGUUUCAUUUCCUACCAAGCAGCUGAGGAGCUGUGAUGCCUGGGAAGGGGCCCCAGAGAACUGGUGCGGGCCCACCAGUUCCCUCUGGGAUUUUCCACUGUAGAGCAGGUCGCUUGUGGGUUGAGCGUGUCCCAGAGCUAAGUGGAUGGAGGCAUGUUGAGGCCACAUCCCAGUGAUCCGACAACUGAAAAAUAAAAGUGAGCCCUCUUCAACAGAAGAGGUGGUUUGUAGUCUAGCGGGGUGGAGCAGGAGGUGGGCCAAGGGGGACAUUGGAGAUGGUGGGACCACGGGAUGGGGCCUUGAGCCGGGGAAGAACUCAGUGGGCUUUGUGAUACACUGGACAGCAGGCAAGGCAUGGGGCCACUCUCAGUGUCCCGAGUGCCUGCGAGGCCUGGAGUGGGCUGUCUCCCGUCCACACUGGGCCCUGAGAGCCGCUUGCCGUAGAGGCCUUUUCCCCUUCAGCCCCGGACUUGUCCGUUCGUUUCUCUUUCCGUCUGCCUCAAUCUAGUCUCCUCAGAACUCAUAAUAAUGACCAUCACUGGCACACUCAGUUGUACUUCAGGUGAAAAGCCGUUAUUUCUGUUAAUGCUCCCAAUUCCGUAGGAACCCUCGGGAAUAGGUUCCCUAGGAAUAGAAAUUUGUGGAAACAGUUUAAGAGUGGUCUGAUUUGAAUGUCCCUAUGUUUGAAGUGUAUAAAACUGUUUUACAAUAACUUGGAUACUUGCCACCUGGCUGUAUGCAAUUUCUUACUGAAAGUAGACUUUUUGCUCCUCGAACCAUGCUGGGAAAAUUCUGUCCCUUAAAUGUUGCCGAUGUGUUUUAUUUCACAUCUUUAUACUUUCUGUAAAGAAAACAGUAAGAUUUAUGGUAGUGCCUUCUGGUUCUCCCACCCCACUCACCCCAAAAUGUGUAUUUUUGUAAGGUCUGAGAUAACAAAAAUUGUGGAUUGGCUGCUUUCUGCGUGGAGCCUGCUUUGGGUCCUUUUCCUCCUUUCUCUCUGCCUCUUUCUCCUCAUACACACACUCUCUCUCUCUGAAACUUUGAAAAGAAGGGCGAUUGAGUGGCUCAGUCAAUGAAGCAUCUGAGUCUUGGUUUCGGCACAGGUCAUGUUUUCAUACUUGGUGAAUUUGAGCCUUGCAGUGGGCGCAGAGCUGACAGUGGGGAGUUUCCUUAGGAUUCUCUCUCCCCCUAAUUCUCUGCUCCUGCUCCUCUUGCUGUUUCUGCCUCUUUCAAAAAUAAAAAAACUAUAAAAAAUAAACCAAUAAGCUAUUGAGAAACCAAUAGUUUGACAGAAAUGAGGAGUUUGGUUUCUUUCCUUUUUGCUAUUUGACAUUGAUAGUCUUCAGAGAUAUUUUUGACAUCAUAACAUGUUGGCUGCAGCUUGGGAAUAGAGCUUGUAAGUUGUGUUUUGGCGGUAGCCAGAUAUCUCACUGCAAUCCAGGGCCCUGGGCUCUGGGGGAAUGUUUCAGUUAUUUAUUUGAAAAGACACAAAACGUUGCAUUCUCCUUCUACAAAACCAGGACUGAUUUCCUCCCACACCACUACUUAAGACUGUCGUCAUUGCCAUAAGAACGAACACAUGCUUGUGAGGAGAACAGGGCAAGGGCAAGGGUGCUGUGGGACUGUCCCAGCGUGUGGCACUGUCUGCAGCUUAAAGACUAUUUGGAAAACGAAAAGGUAUCUUCUAUGGCAGGAAGGUGAUUUCACAUAGACAGUGGAGCAGGCCCAGGCAGCCCAGGAGUCUCCCGAAUUGUGCCCGGUAAGAGUCCUGGCACAAGUGUGGCCCUGUCUCCCUUUACCCCCUGGGGUGUCUUCUGGGCAGGGGGCCCGAUGGCUGUCAGGAAUGUGGGUAAAUACCUGUAAACAAAAUUGCAGAGCGAGGUCAUUUUAAAGGACUGGUAACUUUAAUAUACACUUUUGUUUUUUAAUUUCCAAUCAGUCUUGAUUUCUGGAUGAUGA